rnacentral:rRNA from 1 species
ACAUGCAGUCGAGCGGUAGCACAGAGAGCUUGCUCUCGGGUGACGAGCGGCGGACGGGUGAGUAAUGUCUGGGAAACUGCCUGAUGGAGGGGGAUAACUACUGGAAACGGUAGCUAAUACCGCAUAACGUCGUCAAGACCAAAGUGGGGGACCUUCGGGCCUCAUGCCAUCAGAUGUGCCCAGAUGGGAUUAGCUAGUAGGUGGUGGCUAACUGGCUCACCUAGGCGACGAUCCCCUAGCUGGUCUGAGAGGAUGACCAGCCCACACUCGGAACUUGAGACACUGCGUCCAGACUCCUACGGGAGGCAGCUAGUGCGGGCAAUACUUGCAUCUAUAUGCGGCGCACAGCCUGAUGCAGCUCAUCGUCCGCGUGUGCGUAAGCAAGCGCUCUUCGGGUUCGUAACAGCACUUUCCGCUGGCGCGACGUGAU